CUGCCGGCGCUGGGGCCCGCGCUGGACCUGGAGGCUCUGGAACGGGGCGAUGCCGAGGCCCUGGCAGGUGAGCAGCACCUGAGCCCCGCUCCCCUCACCCCUGGGGGACCCCCCAAAACUCACCUGGCCCCCCGCAGCUGUCCCGGUGACGGUGGCGGGGCUCGGGCUGGCUGCGAGCGAUGCUGAGGAGGACGGGGCAGCAGAAGCCAUGGAGGACGACAGCGCUGACCUGGAGCUCAGCACGAUGACAGUGGAGCUCAAGCCCCGGGUGAAGUCGGGGGGCACUGGGGGGGAUCCAGUGCCCCGAGCCCCCAGUCUGGAGGAGGUGGCUGCGCUCCCCCCUCUGCUCCAGGGCCAGGGGCUGCGGGCAGCCGGGAAAAGGAGGAAAAAACUGCAAAAAAGAGCAGAGAAAAUCGCCACGAAGCUGUCGGAGACACUGGAGGCAGCCAUGCAGUUCUGAGGCUUUUAUAAAUUAAAUCGCUGUAUUUAAAUGAGAAACAGUUCAAUCUUUUCAGAAACAAAAUAACUAAGGGAGCAGGGAGGGCUGUAGGGGUGGUCUGGGAGGUCUCUCAGGUAAGAGAUUGAAAUGUGGAGGUUUUUGGGGGUCCUUGUCCCUGGAAGGGUUUUGGGGGGGUCUCACUGCAUCUUACAGCUGGGGGGGUGAGUGGGGAUCACUAAAAACUUAUCAGUUUUUACAGCUGAUAUAGAAAAUGUAACGCUCAGCCACUUAGUGAACCUCAGAACUGGGGAGGGCUCAGCAUUAGGGUUGCACCCCAUUAUUAAAGACACUCCACCUCCACAACCUCCCCAAUUCCUGUAGCACCCAGUACCCCACUUUGACACUAAAUGAACCCCCCCCAACCUUCCAGAGCACCCCAAAAGCCACCUCGGACACCCCAAAAGCCACCUCGGACACCCCAAAAGCCACCUCGGACACCCCACACACUCCCUGAGGUCCCACAGCUCCCCAAAACCCCCUCGGACCCUCCCAAAAAGCAGAGGGUGCCUCCCUAAGCCGUCACCCUUAGCCCUCACAGCACCCUCACCUGUAUAGGCAGGGUGUGAAGGUUCCCCCGGGAUUUUGGGGUGCCCCCAGUGCCGGGCUGGGGAGGGGGAACGCGGCCACCGAGCUCCCCUCGGCCUCCACCCACCAUUCUGCCACCUUUUCCUCCGCCUGUGAGGAGCAGCAGCCACAGGUGGUGGUGAGGGCAGCACAGGUGUUUCAAAUAACGGCUGAUGAGGCGGAGGGAGGGGUGGAAGGGGCCGUCCCGCCUCGUUUUGGGCUGGUUCGUGGGGGUUUUUUUGCAGCGCUUGGCGCCAUUUUGCCGCCGUGAGGGGAGGGGGGGGGCG
rnacentral:lncRNA from 1 species